GCAUAAUAAAUAGUCUUUUAAUUGAGGACUGGAAUGAAGGGUUAAUACUAAAAAGAAAGUUUUAUUUAAUUAUUUUGAAUUUAAAUUAAAAGUAAAAAUGCUUUUAUAAAUUUUUGGGACGAGAAGACCCUAGAAGCUUAAAAUUUAUAAAAUUUUUAGUUGGGGUAACAUUUGAAGAUUUGAAUUUUUAAAUAUAAAGCUUAAAAUAAAAUUAAGUUACUCUAGGGAUAACAGCAUUAUUUAAUUAACAAGUUCUUAUUAAUAAUUGAAGUUUGUGACCUCGAUGUUGAAUUAAUU
rnacentral:rRNA from 1 species